UACGAAGGGGGCAAGCGUUGUUCGGAAUUACUGGGCGUAAAGGGCGCGCAGGCGGCCAAUCAAGUCAGAUGUGAAAGCCCCGGGCUCAACCUGGGAAUAGCAUUUGGGACUGAUAGGCUAGAGAUCGGGAGAGGAGAGUGGAAUUCCCAGUGUAGAGGUGAAAUUCGUAGAUAUUCGGAGGAACACCAGUGGCGAAGGCGGCUCACUGGUCCGGUACUGACGCUGAGGUGCGAAAGCGUGGGGAGCAAACAGG
rnacentral:rRNA from 1 species